rnacentral:sRNA from 1 species
AGGACUGUCUAGCUCUGAGUCCUAGCAAUAGACUCCUUAGAGGGGUAGUACAUUUAUCUCGAUUUUCUCUAGAUAAUGCAGGCGGAAGACCUGGGUUCCCGGGUGGGGCAUUGCAGUUCUUCCUGUGUUUGGCUUCCAGGAAUUACAUGAACGACAGCCUUCGCACCGACGUCUUCGUGCGCUUCCAGCCAGAGAGCAUCGCCUGCGCCUGCAUUUAUCUUGCUGCCCGGACGCUGGAGAUCCCUUUGCCCAAUCGUCCCCAUUGGUUUCUUUUGUUUGGAGCAAGUGAAGAAGAAAUUCAGGAAAUCUGCUUAAAGAUCUUGCAGCUUUAUGCUCGGAAAAAGGUUGAUCUCACACACCUGGAGGGUGAAGUGGAAAAAAGAAAGCACGCUAUCGAAGAGGCAAAGGCCCAAGCCCGGGGCCUGUUGCCUGGGGGCACACAGGUGCUGGAUGGUACCUCGGGGUUCUCUCCUGCCCCCAAGCUGGCUUGUCAUCUGAUGAAGGUGUUAUAGUGUGGGGCCAUAGAUGAUACACGUCAUCAGACCUAGAGUUCAGUGUGAUGCAAAGGGCCUGUCUACAGUUCUUUUUUUUGAGAUGGAGUCUCGCUCUGUCGU